rnacentral:rRNA from 1 species
CCUACGGGAGGCUGCAGUGGGGAAUAUUGGACAAUGGGCGCAAGCCUGAUCCAGCAAUACCGCGUGUGUGAAGAAGGCCUGAGGGUUGUAAAGCACUUUUAAUCGGGAGGAAUAGCGGUCGGUCAAUACCCGGUCGUCUGACAUUACCGAUAGAAAAAGCACCGGCUAACUCCGUGCCAGCAGCCGCGGUAAUACGGAGGGUGCAAGCGUUAAUCGGAAUUACUGGGCGUAAAGCGUGCGUAGGCGGCUGUUUAAGUCAGAUGUGAAAGCCCCGGGCUUAACCUGGGAACGGCAUUUGAUACUGGGCAGCUAGAGUUUGAUAGAGGAGAGGGGAAUUUCAGGUGUAGCGGUGAAAUGCGUAGAGAUCUGAAGGAACACCAGUGGCGAAGGCGCCUCUCUGGAUUAAAACUGACGCUGAGGUACGAAAGCGUGGGUAGCAAACAGGAUUAGAUACCCCUGUAGUC